rnacentral:rRNA from 1 species
GCCUACGGGACGCAGCAGUGAGGAAUAUUGGUCAAUGGGCGGGAGCCUGAACCAGCCAAGUCGCGUGAGGGAAGACGGUCCUAUGGAUUGUAAACCUCUUUUGUCGGGGAGCAAAGAGAUCACGUGUGGUCAAAAGCGAGAGUACCCGAAGAAAAAGCAUCGGCUAACUCCGUGCCAGCAGCCGCGGUAAUACGGAGGAUGCGAGCGUUAUCCGGAUUUAUUGGGUUUAAAGGGUGCGUAGGCGGGACGGUAAGUCAGCGGUAAAAAUGCGGAGCUCAACCCGUCGAGCCGUUGAAACUGCCGUU